CAGUCGCCGCGGGAAUACGUAGGUGGCAAGCGUUAUCCGGAAUUAUUGGGCGUAAAGGGCUCGCAGGCGGUUUCUUAAGUCUGAUGUGAAAGCCCCCGGCUCAACCGGGGAGGGUCAUUGGAAACUGGGAAACUUGAGUGCAGAAGAGGAGAGUGGAAUUCCACGUGUAGCGGUGAAAUGCGUAGAGAUGUGGAGGAACACCAGUGGCGAAGGCGACUCUCCGGUCUGUAACUGACGCUGAGGAGCGAAAGCGUGGGGAGCGAACAGGAUUAGAUACCCCAGUAGUCCCUGUCUCUUAUAC
rnacentral:rRNA from 1 species